GGGGAGGAUUUUGCUGGAAUGAAUGGGAGUGUUUAACUGUAUUGUACAUGUUUGAUUGGCUGUGCCACAAAACCAUGUGGGUGGUAACAUUGUGUAAAAAGUUGCAUAUAGGUGCCAAUAAACCCUCAGACUGCUGAGUUCCUGUUUUGACACUCAACAUAAAGUCUUGUCUCAUGAUUGGGGAAAAGGCUGCAUUUACACUGGGGGAUUGCUA